UGAGGAAUAUUGGUCAAUGGGCGAGAGCCUGAACCAGCCAAGUAGCGUGAAGGAUGACUGCCCUAUGGGGUUGUAAACUUCUUUUAUAAAGGAAUAAAGUCGGGUAUGGAUACCCGUUUGCAUGUACUUUAUGAAUAAGGAUCGGCUAACUCCGUGCC
rnacentral:rRNA from 1 species